GCGCUCGCUUCGGCAGCACGUAUACUAAAACUGGAAUGAUGCUGCGAAGAUUAGCAUGGCCCCUGCACAAGGAUGAAACACAAAUUUGUGAAGCAUUCCAUAUUUCU